UACGAACUGUGCGAACGUUAUUCGGACUCACUGGGCUUACAGGGUGCGUAGGCGGCUUGUUAAGUAGGGUGUGAAAGCCCCCGGCUCAACCGGGGAAUUGCGCCCUAAACUGGCGAGCUAGAGUGAGAUAGGGGUAUGUGGAACUUCCGGUGGAGCGGUGAAAUGUGUUGAUAUCGGAAGGAACGCCGGUGGCGAAAGCGACAUACUGGAUCUUGUCUGACGCUGAGGCACGAAAGCCAGGGGAGCGAACGGG
rnacentral:rRNA from 1 species